rnacentral:rRNA from 1 species
CCUACGGGGGGCUGCAGUCGAGAAUAUUCCACAAUGGACGAAAGUCUGAUGGAGCGACGCCGCGUGCAGGAAGACGGCCCUCGGGUUGUAAACUGCUUUUCUCAGGGAAGAAUUACGAUGACUGUACCUGAGGAAUAAGAGGUUACUAACUCUGUGCCAGCAGUAGCGGUAAUACAGAGACCUCAAGCGUUAUCCGGAUUUAUUGGGCGUAAAGCGCAGGUAGGCGGACAUGUUAGUCGGAUGUCAAAUAUCCCGGCUCAACCGGGAACAGGCAUUCGAAACGGCAUGUCUCGAGAUAGCGAGAAAUCAGUGGAAUUCACGGUGUAGUAGUGAAAUGCGUUGAUAUCGUGAGGAACACCAAAGGCGAAGGCAACUGAUUAGCGCUGUUCUGACGCUGAGCUGCGAAAGCGUGGGGAGCGAAUGGGAUUAGAUACCCCAGUAGUC